rnacentral:rRNA from 1 species
UACGGUAACGAACGAGCUAAUACCGGAUAAUAUUUCGAACCGCAUGGUUCGAUAGUGAAAGGUGGUUUUGCUAUCACUUAUAGAUGGACCCGCGCCGUAUUAGCUAGUUGGUAAGGUAACGGCUUACCAAGGCGACGAUACGUAGCCGACCUGAGAGGGUGAUCGGCCACACUGGAACUGAGACACGGUCCAGACUCCUACGGGAGGCAGCAGCC